AUUGAACGCUGGCGGCAUGCCUUACACAUGCAAGUCGAACGGCAGCGCGGACUUCGGUCUGGCGGCGAGUGGCGAACGGGUGAGUAAUACAUCGGAACGUACCCUGUUGUGGGGGAUAACUAGUCGAAAGAUUAGCUAAUACCGCAUACGACCUGGGGGUGAAAGUGGGGGACCGCAAGGCCUCACGCAGCAGGAGCGGCCGAUGUCUGAUUAGCUAGUUGGUGGGGUAAAGGCCCACCGAGGCGACGAUCAGUAGCUGGUCUGAGAGGACGAUCAGCCACACUGGGACUGAGACACGGCCCAGACUCCUACGGGAGGCAGCAGUGGGGAAUUUUGGACAAUGGGGGCAACCCUGAUCCAGCAAUGCCGCGUGUGUGAAGAAGGCCUUCGGGUUGUAAAGCACUUUUGUCCGGAAAGAAAUCGCGCUGGUUAAUACCUGGCGUGGAUGACGGUACCGGAAGAAUAAGCACCGGCUAACUACGUGCCAGCCGCCGCAGUAAUAC
rnacentral:rRNA from 1 species